UACGUAGGGUGCGAGCGUUAAUCGGAAUUACUGGGCGUAAAGCGUGCGCAGGCGGUCUGUUAAGACAGAUGUGAAAUCCCCGGCUUAACCUGGGAACUGCAUUGGUGACUGCAUUGCUGGAGUAUGGCAGAGGGGGGGUGGAAUUCCACGUGUAGCAGUGAAAUGCGUAGAGAUGUGGAGGAACACCGAUGGCGAAGGCAGCCCCUGGGCCAAUACUGACGCUCAUGCACGAAAGCGUG
rnacentral:rRNA from 1 species